AUGCAUUGUGCUGAUCCAGAGACAUGCACAAGAACUCUCUGCUCACUUUGUUGCACGUGCACAACCUCAGCUGCGGCUGGAAAAAGUGCUUUACUCCACGACAGCGCUGGCUGGAAGCCUCUCCACGUAUGCAGAGAGAGAGAGGCUGUCACAUGCGUUGGUGAUUUGCCAUGGGAAGGUCUGAGGCCAUCCCCAUCCCUUCAGCUUUGGGGUAGUUGGUAGAAGCUGAUCGUAGUGAGAGCGAGCUGCGCUGGCAUCACAAGGUGCAAGCAAAGUAAUAGGUAGAAGCAGCCCAGCAGAAACAAGUAAUUUCUGAGAGAAGUCCUCAGAACUUGCCUCUGAGUCAUCUCCACGUUGGCAGGAGAAACUGGCAAAGAGGAAAAGUGUCUCUGCAGGUAAUGCUGCUGCAAAGGCCCAGAAUUAAGAGGCUCAGCCAAGUGAACACAUCCAGCCCCUAAGACAGACCUCGUCGUACUCUGAAGGAGCUGAAACAGAAAGCCGUUUUUACGGUUAUGAGGUCGGUGAAGAAAUGACACAAAGUCUUACGCUUCUUUUGCCUAUAUCCACACAUACUAUAUACUCGGCUAGAGCAAAACUCAG
ensembl:lncRNA